GACGAACGCUGGCGGCAUGCUUAACACAUGCAAGUCGAACGGAAAGGCCCUGCUUUGUUGGGCUGCUCGAGGUGCGAACGGGUGAGUAACCCGUAAGUAACCUGCCCUUGACUUUGGGGUAACUUCAGGAAGCUUGAUCUAAUACCGGAUAGGAGCUCCUGCUGCAGGGUGGGGGUUGGAAAGUUUCGGCGGUUGGUGGUGGACUCGCGGCUUAUCAGCUUGUUGGUGGGGUAGUGGCUUACCAAGGCUUUGACGGGUAGCCGGGCUGGGCGGGUGACCGGACCAACUGGGAUUGGGAUGAGGCCCAGACUCCACCGGGAGGGAGCAGUGGGGUAUGUUGUAUAAGGGGCGGAAGCCUAAUCUAGUACAGCCGCGCGGGGGAUGACGGGCAUCGGGUUGUAUAGCGCAGCCGCCUGUGCCGAAGCGUGAGUGACGGUAAUGGGUAAAGAAGCACCGGCUAACUACGUG
rnacentral:rRNA from 1 species